GUGAGGAAUAUUGCACAAUGGAGGAAACUCUGAUGCAGCAACGCCGCGUGGAGGAUGACGCAUUUCGGUGUGUAAACUCCUUUUAAGAGGGAAGAUUAUGACGGUACCUCUUGAAUAAGCACCGGCUAACUCCGUGCCAGCAGCAGCGGUAAUACGGAGGGUGCAAGCGUUACUCGGAAUCACUGGGCGUAAGGGGUGCGUAGGCUGACUUUUAAGUCAGGCGUGAAAUCCAAUGGCUUAACCAUUGAACUGGGCUUGAAACUGGGAGUCUAGAGUUCAGGAGGGGCAGAUGGAAUUAGUGGUGUAGGGGUAAAAUCCGUAGAUAUCACUAGGAAUAUCAAAAGCGAAGGCGAUCUGCUGGGAUGAUACUGACGCUGAGGCACGAAAGCGUGGGGAGCAAACAGGAUUAGAAACCCCAGUAGUCC
rnacentral:rRNA from 1 species